CGUGUAGGCUGCUCUGCAAGUCGGGUGUGAAAGCCCCGGGCUCAACCUGGGAAGUGCACUCGAAACUGCAGAGCUCGAGUCCUGGAGAGGAAGGCGGAAUUCUCGGUGUAGAGGUGAAAUUCGUAGAUAUCGAGAGGAACACCGGUGGCGAAGGCGGCCUUCUGGACAGUGACUGACGCUGAGACGCGAAAGCGUGGGGAGCAAACAGGAUUAGAUACCCUGGUAGUCCACGCCGUAAACGAUGGGUGCUAGGUGUCGCGGGCUUUGACCCCUGCGGUGCCGCAGCUAACGCAUUAAGCACCCCGCCUGGGGAGUACGGCCGCAAGGCUAAA
rnacentral:rRNA from 1 species